rnacentral:rRNA from 1 species
UACGUAGGGGGCAAGCGUUGUCCGGAUUUAUUGGGCGUAAAGAGCGUGUAGGCGGCCAGACAGGUCUGUUGUGAAAACUCGAGGCUCAACCUCGAGACGCCGAUGGAAACCAUCUGGCUAGAGUCCGGAAGAGGAGAGUGGAAUUCCUGGUGUAGCGGUGAAAUGCGCAGAUAUCAGGAAGAACACCCGUGGCUAAGGCGGCUCUCUAGUACGGUACUGACGCUGAGACGCGAAAGCGUGGGGAGCGAACAGG